rnacentral:lncRNA from 1 species
UGGAAUUAUUACAUUAUUAAUAUUUUCAUCUGCUGGCUGGCAUAUUCACCCUGAAACAGAGCUUUGCAAAAUGAUGGAGAAUCCGUGAAGAAUUGGUCUCAGAAAUGAGCAACGCUCUCGCCCGCUGUGAACUGUUCAAAUCAUCCAGUUUGCUUGACUUUUUGAAGAUCCUGCCUCAUGUGGUCCGCGCUACGAGGCCAAAGGAGACGGAGCUCCAAGCUCGGUGGGGCUCCCACUUUGAUACCCGGCCCAACAUGGCGUCCUGUGACAUCACGUGGCAGGGGGUCUCUGUGAAGCUAAUCUCUAAUAAGGGAUGAAACGCUGCAUCUGAUGAAGGUUGAUCUUUCGAGAACCACUUUAAGAGGAGCUGUUAAUGAUGACGACUUUGGACGGUUGAAGUGGAAAUGUUAAUGAAGGACCACCACUCGGUUUGAUUCGGUUCAUUUAAUGAGACACGUCACUGAUUUAUGGAUUAGAAAUGAAUAUAACCUAAUGACAUUUUGUGAAAACACACUAAACUGAACCACUCAUUUAUGAAUCACAAUACCACACAUUACAAAUUAUAAACAGCCGUUUUUAUGUGGGAAAGUACUAUUUUACUUGUGGCGUUUGUAUACUGAUUAAGUUACUUCUUAUCAGUCAAACCUGGCAACAUACGGUUAUUGGCAGAUACGUUACCGCCACAUCGGCAACAACGGACACUUCGACGUUAAACACCACAGAAUUAGAAGAACAACAGGAGACGUUUAUGUGCGUUUCCUCCAGACAACGUUGAACGAGCAUCCCGGAAGCAGCUUCGGACGGAGGCGCUCCUGCUUUAAAUGCUGGACAGGUGCUGACAUGUCUCAAACUCCCCCCUUCCUCAGUGAGUGAGCGGUUUGACCUGGUGUUGGCAGUUGAUGGCCCAGUAGACCUGCCUGCGUGCAUUUGAAUGUCAAAGAGCAUCUUGGAGCUGUCACGGCCCGCCUGCCACACAAGAGGAACUUCCCUCCAGUCCUCGGCGUUACCCACAUGGCAAGAGGAUGUGCAGCGGCUGAUGUGGAGGAAAGACAAUCAGGCCGUCAAGGGUGAACCCCCCGUGAAUAAUUCCAACUUUAAUUGGAAAGAAAUCUAUACAUGGAACUUCACUUGCACGCAGGAUCACAGUACCUUGAAGAAACAAUUACAAAGCAUAGAGAGGUAAUCAAUGGCUCUGCUUCGCCAUGAAAUGUCACCCGAUGAAGCUGAUACGGCCCUGAAGUAUUAGCGUUUAACCUGUGUCUCUAAGUGAAUAGCGUACAGUUAAAGCGAGCACAAGGUGGCACUAGUAGCUGUACAAAUACAUUCAGCACAUACAUCUAAUGCAUGUAAAUUAAACCUCAUCUGUGCCCAUAGUUGUAGUUAUUGAACCAUUAUUUCACAGUUUAUUAUUCUUUUCAACACUUAAACUCUUUUAAUACAAUAUUUCUUCUAACAAUUCCCCUCCGUAGUUGUGUGCUCUCCAAAC